UACGUAGGGCGCGAGCGUUGUCCGGAUUUAUUGGGCGUAAAGCGCUCGUAGGCGGCUUGUCGCGUCAACUGUGAAAACCCGUGGCUCAACCAUGUGGUCUGCAGUCGAUACGGGCAGGCUAGAAUUCGGUAGGGGAGACUGGAAUUCCUGGUGUAGCGGUGAAAUGCGCAGAUAUCAGGAGGAACACCGGUGGCGAAGGCGGGUCUCUGGGCCGAUAUUGACGCUGAGGAGCGAAAGCGUGGGGAGCGAACAGG
rnacentral:rRNA from 1 species